GAAGGUGAAGAAAGAAUGUCCUUUUUCUCUAGAUAUUUCUGUUUAAAUCAACUGUUACAGUGAAGAAUGCACAGAAGAGAGUUGGAAGGAAACAUGCCCCAAUGUCAAAGAUGGCCCUCUGAGUGAGCAGGAGGUUGACUUCCUCUUUGCAGCUCUGCCAGAGCUGGCCUCAUACACAGACAUGCGGGAGGAGGAACGAAUAAACAUGACUCCCUCUGAGGAGUCCCACCUUCUGGGAGGGACUCACCUGGCCAACCUGCACGCGGACUC